GGUUAAGCGACUAAGCGUACACGGUGGAUGCCCUGGCAGUCAGAGGCGAUGAAGGACGUGCUAAUCUGCGAUAAGCGUCGGUAAGGUGAUAUGAACCGUUAUAACCGGCGAUUUCCGAAUGGGGAAACCCAGUGUGAUUCGUCACACUAUCAUUAACUGAAUCCAUAGGUUAAUGAGGCGAACCGGGGGAACUGAAACAUCUAAGUACCCCGAGGAAAAGAAAUCAACCGAGAUUCCCCCAGUAGCGGCGAGCGAACGGGGAGGAGCCCAGAGCCUGAAUCAGUGUGUGUGUUAGUGGAAGCGUCUGGAAAGGCGCGCGAUACAGGGUGACAGCCCCGUACACAAAAAUGCACAUACUGUGAGCUCGAUGAGUAGGGCGGGACACGUGGUAUCCUGUCUGAAUAUGGGGGGACCAUCCUCCAAGGCUAAAUACUCCUGACUGACCGAUAGUGAACCAGUACCGUGAGGGAAAGGCGAAAAGAACCCCGGCGAGGGGAGUGAAAAAGAACCUGAAACCGUGUACGUACAAGCAGUGGGAGCCUCUUUAUGGGGUGACUGCGUACCUUUUGUAUAAUGGGUCAGCGACUUAUAUUCUGUAGCAAGGUUAACCGAAUAGGGGAGCCGAAGGGAAACCGAGUCUUAACUGGGCGUUAAGUUGCAGGGUAUAGACCCGAAACCCGGUGAUCUAGCCAUGGGCAGGUUGAAGGUUGGGUAACACUAACUGGAGGACCGAACCGACUAAUGUUGAAAAAUUAGCGGAUGACUUGUGGCUGGGGGUGAAAGGCCAAUCAAACCGGGAGAUAGCUGGUUCUCCCCGAAAGCUAUUUAGGUAGCGCCUCGUGAAUUCAUCUCCGGGGGUAGAGCACUGUUUCGGCAAGGGGGUCAUCCCGACUUACCAACCCGAUGCAAACUGCGAAUACCGGAGAAUGUUAUCACGGGAGACACACGGCGGGUGCUAACGUCCGUCGUGAAGAGGGAAACAACCCAGACCGCCAGCUAAGGUCCCAAAGUCAUGGUUAAGUGGGAAACGAUGUGGGAAGGCCCAGACAGCCAGGAUGUUGGCUUAGAAGCAGCCAUCAUUUAAAGAAAGCGUAAUAGCUCACUGGUCGAGUCGGCCUGCGCGGAAGAUGUAACGGGGCUAAACCAUGCACCGAAGCUGCGGCAGCGACACUAUGUGUUGUUGGGUAGGGGAGCGUUCUGUAAGCCUGUGAAGGUGUACUGUGAGG
rnacentral:rRNA from 1 species